CCGGCUGGCAUCCCCAGGGGAUGCGCCCCAUGGGACUGCCCUCAUGUGUGGCGGUGGGACCCCACGUGUGCUCUUCCCUUGUGGGCUCCGUUGUU
rnacentral:pre_miRNA from 1 species